rnacentral:sRNA from 1 species
UGAACGCGCGCCAGAGCUCUGUCUAUAGGCUUUACUCUUUCUCUACUAUUCUCGGGAGAUAUCUAAUGCCGCUGGAGCCUGAAGUCUCUGGUAGAUUCACGUAUAGGAUAGAGACGAUAAAUUUCCAUAGCGGCUAACGGCUAUUAUGUUGUAUGACCUUCUCGAUAAAGGGAAAAAGAGCCAGCACAUGCCUGACAUUCGCUCCACUAUGAGAUCGUUGAAUUUAUUCUACAAGGCAUAAAUUUGAAAAUCCUGUUUAAGCAUGAGGAGUAUUUCGCUAUGACUAUGUGUACACUCGAACUUGUUUCUUUUAUACAAGGGACUUAUAAACGGGAGAACAUUUGAUAUAUCUCAUCCUCCACCGUGGGGUGAGUGGGUGAAUAAUCCUGUGAAUGCAUUGGCGAGUCAACCACUAGUGGACAGUGGCAUCACUAGACAGGAUGGAUCAAGCACAGCAGCUAGGGAACUAGGAUAUAUAUAGACUAUCUAGGUCCGAUAUCCAGUACAUGUACAG